rnacentral:rRNA from 1 species
GAUGAACGCUGGCGGCGUGCCUAAUACAUGCAAGUCGAGCGAAUGGAUUAAGAGCUUGCUCUUAUGAAGUUAGCGGCGGACGGGUGAGUAACACGUGGUAACCUGCCCAUAAGACUGGGAUAACUCCGGGAAACCGGGGCUAAUACCGGAUAACAUUUUGAACCGCAGGGUUCGAAAUUGAAAGGCGGCUUCGGCUGACACUUAUGGAUGGAAGCGCGUCGCAUUAGCUAGUUGGUGAGGUAACGGCUCACCAAGGCAACGAUGCGUAGCCGACCUGAGAGGGUAAUCGGCCGCACUGGGACUGAGACACGGCCCAGACUCCUACGGGAGGCAGCAGUAGGGAAUCUUCCGCAAUGGACGAAAGUCUGACGGAGCAACGCCGCGUGAGUGAUGAAGGCUUUCGGGUCGUAAAACUCUGUUGUUAGGGAAGAACAAGUGCUAGUUGAAUAAGCUGGCACCUUGACGGUACCUAACCAGAAAGCCACGGCUAACUACGUGCCAGCCGCCGCCGUAA